rnacentral:rRNA from 2 species
GAGCUUGCUCCUGUGACGCGAGUGGCGGACGGGUGAGUAACACGUAGGCAACCUGCCCAUCAGACCGGGAUAACCACGGGAAACCGUGGCUAAUACCGGAUAAUCCUUCCCCGCACAGGCGGGGGAGUUGAAAGGCGGCUUCGGCUGUCACUGGUGGAUGGGCCUGCGGCGCAUUAGCUGGUUGGUGGGGUAACGGCCCACCAAGGCGACGAUGCGUAGCCGACCUGAGAGGGUGAUCGGCCACACUGGGACUGAGACACGGCCCAGACUCCUACGGGAGGCAGCAGUAGGGAAUCUUCCGCAAUGGACGAAAGUCUGACGGAGCAACGCCGCGUGAGUGAAGAAGGGUUUCGGCUCGUAAAACUCUGUUGUCAGGGAAGAACGCCGACGGGAGUAACUGCCCGUCGGGUGACGGUACCUGACCAGAAAGCCACGGCUAACUACGUGCCAGCAGCCGCGGUAAUACGUAGGUGGCAAGCGUUAUCCGGAAUUAUUGGGCGUAAAGCGCGCGUAGGCGGUU